rnacentral:tRNA from 1 species
GUGGCGCCGGAGGUGGACGCCCUCGCCGGGGCCUUCCGCGCCCUGCGGGACGACGCGCUGGCCGCCCGGCUCGGCCGCGCCGCGC